CUGAGUGUAAAAACUCCAAACCCCUGUGAACGUACCACUGUUGCUUCGGCGGCCUCGUCCCGCGGCGCGCGCUCCGGCGCGUGACCCGGUCCAAGGCGACCGCCGGAGGCACCAAACUCUUGUCUUUAUAGUGGAUAUCUGAGUGGCAUAAGCAAAUAAAUCA
rnacentral:misc_RNA from 1 species